AAAUCUGCAACUCUUAACUUUAUCUUUGAUGCACUCUUAUAACAAUACAUAGCAGAUAAAUAAUUAUACCCUCUUGAGACUCAAAGAAUCAGAUGAUAUUUUGAUCAAAGUCAUCAAGUCACAAAGCUCACUCUCGAUUGUAUAUUGUUUCGGGUCGGUAUGUAUUGAUAUCUGAGUCAUGACGUCCAUUUGGAUCUGUUGGCUAUUUCCAAGAUUGUGCAUGUCUGCCAUAUGUAUUACAUUCCCACAAAACUGGGUGAAUUCUUGUUUGGAACUCACUCGCUCAUGCCAUCACUUCCUUCGCGAUCACUAACGUCGCUGAAAGCUUCGGGUUCCUCAACAUCUGGGAUGCUUUCUGUUUCCAUAGUAACUUCAGAACCCUCCUCCUCACUGUCAUCGUUAUCUUCAUAUAUGAUGGGCUGUAUGGCACCAUCUUCUUCAUCAUCACCAUCAUCAAUAGUCCCUGCGUGAAGCAAUUCUAAGGAGCUCGAUAACUGAAGGGCUUGGUGGAGAGUUGAAAGUCUGGCAUCAAUAAGCUGAUAUAAAGAGUUGAGUGCAAGCAAAGAGGAUUCUUGGGACAUUAUUCCACUAGCGUGUUGGAGAAGCAAACUUCGCAGCCAAGGAAGGGCACAAGCCAAUACAGCACCCCUUGACUGGAUAAUUGAUAAGAGUGACUGUAAAAGCUUGAGAACAUCUGAAGGAUUUAAAAGAGAGACUGAAUUUGCAAUGACCUUCUCAUCCUGUCUGUAUAAGCAAUCUAUCAAAAGUGCUCGAUCAUCAGCGUGAAGUGCUUGCUUCAG
rnacentral:misc_RNA from 1 species